rnacentral:rRNA from 1 species
UCAGACGAUGCGUCAUGCAUAUCAAUAAGCGGAGGAAAAGAAACUAACAAGGAUUACCCCUAGUAACGGCGAGUGAAGCGGGAAGAGCUCAAAUUUGAAAUCUUAAAGGGUUUCCCUUUACGAAUUGUAGUUUAAAGAAGUGUUUUCUGUUGAGGUUUUGGUAAAAGUUCUUUGGAAUAGGACAUCAUAGAGGGUGAGAAUCCCGUAUUCGACCUUUACUUUCAACUUUGUGAUACACUUUCAAAGAGUCGGAUUGUUUGGGAAUGCAGUCCAAAAUGGGAUGGUAAAUUUCAUCUAAAGCUAAAUAUUGGCGAGAGACCGAUAGCGAACAAGUACCGUGAGGGAAAGAUGAAAAGAACUUUGAAAAGAGAGUUAAACAGUACGUGAAAUUGUCAAAAGGGAAGCGUUUGACACCAGUGUUGUUUUUCUGAAAAUCAAUUAAAGAACUGUUUAUGCUAAGCUGUUUAGACUUUAUCAGCUAUCUGUUUAGUUUUGAGCUUUUCUUUAAUGCACUUUUCAGUUAACAAGUCAACAUCAAUUUCUUUUGCUGUAAAAAAGCUUGAGGAAGGUGGCUUGAGAUUCGUCUUAAGUGUUUAUAGCCUCUUGCCUAUGCAGUCGGAGAGAUUGAGGUCUGCAGCGUAGAUCCUUCGGGGCUAAAUGCAUUUGUGCUAAGUUAUAGCAUUUUAUAGACAACUUGUUGACUAUGAUUUGUCUUGUAGCUUACUCGCUUAUGUUAUUUUACCUACGCUUAGGAUGUUGACACACGCGCGUGCUCG